rnacentral:rRNA from 1 species
AGGACGAACGCUGGCGGCGUGCUUAACACAUGCAAGUCGAACGGGGUCCAAGAAGAGCUUGCUCUUUGGAAGACCUAGUGGCGAACGGGUGAGUAACACGUGUAGAACCUGUCCCGAAGAUGGGGAUAACAGCGGGAAACCGCUGCUAAUACCCAAUACCUUUACGAGAUCGCAUGGUCAUGUAAAGAAAUGUUUUUCGCUUUGGGAGGGCUUCGCGGCCUAUCAGCUUGUUGGUGAGGUAACGGCUCACCAAGGCUUCGACGGGUAGCUGGUCUGAGAGGACGACCAGCCACACUGGGACUGAGACACGGCCCAGACUCCUACGGGAGGCAGCAGUGGGAAUAUUGCGCAAUGGGCGAAAGCCUGACGCAGCAACGCCGCGUGUGGGAUGAAGGCUCGUCGGGUUGUAAACCACUUUCAGUCAGGAACGAAAAUGACGGUACCUGCAGAGAACGCCCGGCCAACACGUGCCAGCAGCCGC